GCUUCGAUAACAAACUCAAUACUUUGGCCCCAUAUUACUCUUCUCAGUUUGAAAACAAACAUGCAGUUGCUUUGAAACGACCUUAUGCAAAUAGAUAAGGACGAACUUGAUAGGUUUGCCAAAUGGGUGCUAGAUAUAGGCAAUGGAACAAUUCCAGCGACAGUGAAAAACGACGAAUCUGAGCCAUCAUGGGUUCAGAUUCCUGAUGACUUGCUGAUAAAGACAGAUGGUGAGAAAAUACCUGCACUAAUUAAUGAAGUCUUUCCUGAUCUAUUGAAUAACCACAGGAAUCCUGAAUACCUUUCAUGUCGUGCCAUUGUGUGUCCUAACAAUGCUACUGUCGAUGACAUUAAUAGCUAUGUUGUUAACAUGAUACCAGGAAAAGAAAAGGAGUACCUUAGCUGUGACACAAUCUGUAAAUCAUGUGAGCACAUACAGGAUUACGAUUUGCUUUAUCCUACUGAAUUUCUCAACUCUAUAAAUGUGAACAACUUUCCAAACCAUAGGCUUGUGCUUAAAAAGGGUGUCACUGUUAUGCUACUGAGAAAUCUUAAUCAAUCGAUGGGACUUUGCAACGGCACUAGGUUAUUAGUUGAUGUGUUAGGAUAGUGGGUUCUUCAGUGCACUGUAUUGACUGGAUCUAAGAUUGGUGAAACGGUUUUCAUACCAAGGAUAGCACUUAACACUACUAGCUCAAAGUGGCCAUUUAUCUUGCAAAGAAGACAGUUCCCCGUACGUGUUUGCUAUGCAAUGACAAUAAACAACAGCCAGGGCCAAACGUUGUCACACGUUGGGGUUUACCUGAAGAAACUUUUAUUCACACAUGGCCAGUUAUAUGUUGCUGUGUCAAGAGCCACUUCACGCAAAGGGCUCAAAAUUCUAAUUGUGGAUGAUGAUGGUAAUUGUUCCUCGGAAACUAGGAAUGUGGUGUAUCAUGAGAUACUUCAGGCAAUAGAGGUGACAGUGUGCUUUAUAGGAUGUUCAAGUGGUUUAUCCCUAUUUUCUGGACAUGCUUCUUAUACAUUCAUUUAUCUGUGUCAAACGCAGGAACAACAAACAUGAAAGGGGAAUAGUUACAGAGAUGUUUGCACAUAUAGGUUACCAUGGAGUUUAAUUUUGCACAAUAGCUCUUAUUAAUACAACUGGUUACCACCUAUGUCAUGCUUUUAAGUGUCCUACGCUAUCAAUGUAUCAUAGGUUGAGCUGACAUUUUUUUUUUGUGUUUCCUCACUUACAGAUGGAUCAUUGCAUUAUCUCUAAGCUUGAGCCUGGUCUUGGCAAUCCGCGCAUUUAUGUGCGUCUUUCGCGUAUGUGGAACUUCAAUGACCCUAAGGAUGAUAUAUCUCUUCUGCAUGUAGCACUUGUAUUGGUUGAUGAGACGGAAGGCAGCAUUGCAGCUCAGAUAUUCCCACCAGAUGGUAAACUCUUUAAGCCCCUGUUGUCGGAAGGAAAGAUUUACUACCUGACACACUAUAUUGUGAGGAAUUGUAGCAGAUCCUACAAGCCAGUGAGCAACUCUCUUGCUAUUGCAUUCACAGGAUGGACUAUUGUUGAGGAGUAUGUGAAUGCACCCACCAGCUUUCCAUUCUACACCUACUCCCUGAAAUCUUUCAACCAGCUCACUGCGCUUCUUGACAACAAAGAUUCAUUCACCGAUACUAUCGGAGUCAUCACUGAGGUUUCAUCUAUUACUUCUGUUCGAUCACGUACAAGGGACGGCGACAGCCUAAAGCGCAACGUGUUCAUCAGCGAUGCAAAGUUAGACAUCCUUAUGCUUUUCAUUUGACUAAUAUUUUCUUAAAUUUGUUUGCCUAAUGUGACAUGCACGCAGAAAUUUCCACAACCAUUUUUUAACCCCCAUUAACCACAAAAUAUUUUAAACAUGUAAUAUCACUUUACUUCAUUAGCAAUGCCACUAUUCGUGUUUCGCUUUGGGGAGACCGCGCUACUGAGUUUCCUGCAGAAGAGUCUUCUCUAGGGGUCAGUCAGAACAACAAAUUGUGAUAUUUGUUGGCACGUUGGUGAAAGGAUUCAAAAGGGAAAUCUACCUCUCAGGAAAUUCUGCUUGCAAGUGGUACAUCAAUAUUAAAUGCGAUGAAGUCUGAAGCUUAAGAGAUAGCCUGGCAACUCAAAAGGAACCAGUCAGGUGGCUUGACUUACCCCGGGCUGAUGCCGUAUGAUCUGCUGCUGAGAUAAAAUCAAUCAUCGAGAUCAAGGACCUAAACCCAUUCGUGCAUAAGAAACUCGAGUUUGUCGUCACAGUCACCAUAAAGAAAAUAGAUGGGUCUUGGUGGUACGUAGCAUGUGACAGAUGCAGGAGGACUGCAAGGCCAUAUGGAAAAACAUAUCGCUGUGGAGGUGGAGAUUGCCCAGCAACUGUGCCAGCAUCACCAAGGUUUAAGCUUGGUCUUAUAGCUGGAGAUGACACCGCUGAUACAAAGUUUGUUAUGUUUGGUCGUAUGGCACAGAGGAUAAUAGGCAAAUCAGUAGAGAAUUUACUGGAUCAGCACCCGGCCGAUGAAGCAUAUAUUCCUAAACAGAUCACUGAUUUGCUAGAAAAACAGUUCACCUGGAAUGUUAGUAUGACUGAUACAACUAUAUCAAAUGGGAGCAUUUCCUUCCAAGUUAACAACAUUAUUGGAAAUGGUUCACAACCUCCCCUACUGCUUCAGUCACCAUCAUCAUCUCAGGCGGUGUCUGCAGUCCCUCUCUUGACUAUGUCACCAAGUGCUUCUCAAGGAAUGUCUAUUGCCCAGCAAAGCUUGACUGCUACACCUUCUCUUGGCUUCAAUAGCCCUCCUGUAACACCUAUGCAAGGCAAAGUAGUAGAUCAGGAAUGCUCAUCAAAGACACCAACUGGGACUCCUGUGCGAUUAGAGGAUGAGGAUGAUGACAAUGCGACACUUGCCACGCUGAAAUGUCCUAGCCCAGCCACAAAGCAUAGCGCUUCCAAGGCACCAAGGAAGAGGACACGGUCUUCUCCAGGAAGUGCUACGGUCAAAAAACUUUUCAAGGAAGAUGAUGAGCAAAAGGGUGAAAAGUGCCCAGACAAGAAUGAGUAGAUGCUCACUCCUUCGACACAGUUGCAGAUCAAAAGAGCCUUUUGUUUGAUAGCUCAUACUUAUCAUGUCUGUCGCCGAGCCUGCAAACUGCCUUUUGCAAACCUGCAUUUUAUGUGAUCAUUCCAUAUAUCGCACGAAAAUGCCAUUUCUAUUCAUGUAAUCUGAAACUUAAUUUGUAACGCUGCAAUCGACAUCUGCCAUUGCUAGCAGUAUUCAUGGUUAUCAUGGCUAUACCUUGAUAACAGUGAAUGCUAUGUGGAAUGGUUUAAGUUA